rnacentral:lncRNA from 1 species
CAAUAACAAUAAUGAGCAAGAGCUUGGGAUUCAGAUCCAGAUUUGCAUUCAGUGUGGCCAAAAAUGGAUGGGAGAUGUCCAUCUGACUGCAAAGAAUACACCAUGUGGGUUCAGAUGAUGGUAAGUGAGUAUUUAUUUAUAUGUGGUGUAAAAGACUGGAGGUGGAGGAAAAACAAAUUAAAAACUGUUAGGUCACAUGCAUACAUACCCACCCAACAGCUAUUUUUACUGAAAUAAUGGAGCUGGGUUGGCAGGGGACAGCCUGAACUGGGGAAAAAAUACAGUGGUAGCCAUGAUGUGAACAGUAGGAAUCCAACAUGAAUAACAAACUUAUUUGGAUAAGUCACAUGUAUGGCCUGAAAAGUUACUAUUCAUGACCACUUUGACAGUAAGAAAUACAACAAUAAUAUGCCUUGGGUAAGGAAAAUAUAAAUCAACAUAAUGCAUC